GGUGGGGUUCCCGAGCGGCCAAAGGGAGCAGACUCUAAAUCUGCCGUCAUCGACUUCGAAGGUUCGAAUCCUUCCCCCACCA
rnacentral:tRNA from 10 species